UAAUUCAAUCAUAUAUUAGAUUUGAGAAAUAUUAUAAAAGGUUUCUGAUAACAUAGCUAAAAUACAACCAACUACACAAUUAUCUAAAUACUGUGCUUCCAGAGACUAACCAGAACCACACAUACCAAAGAGUAUCAAUCCAAAUCCACCAUUAGUUUUGGAUCAAUAACAUCCAACCAACACACAAGAAAGUAUCAUAUAUCUAAUCAAGUGAUGCCAAUAACACCAAAACAUCAAGGUCAGAGUUAAUAAAGAAAGAAACAAGAACCCAUAAUGAAAUUCUCCAAAGGAGAGAAUUACAACAGAACACUAGGAAAUUCCAAAUUAUCCAUGUUUCAUACUGCUUACGCAGAGCAUAAACCAAACUAUUUUGUAUUUGACAUUUUCCACAUAUCGGGAGGUAAAACUGAUCACUUUAGCAAGCAUAUUUUGCUAAGCUUGAUUCUCCUGCUGCUGCUGAUAGUUCAAGGGCCUCCUGAAGAGCAUGAUAUGUGGCUCAGGGCGAUGAAUUGCAUAGUGGACCCAACCACGGCUCUGCUGAACACCAAUAGCACGCCAUUCAUUCUGCAGAACCAAAUUACCAAAAAAAAAUGCCAAGAAUUUCAGCAAACUUAACUGCUCAUAAAGACCAUAUAUAAUGUGCAAACAAUCAAAGAAAAUGAAAACUUUAGGUUUUAAACUGCAAAUAAAUGCCUUGAAUUUACUCAAUGUGCUUCAAAAGCUAAAUGAAAUGCAAUAAUAGCAUCUUAGUAAGAAAUUUGACAAAAUGAAACAAAACCCUAAAUCCAACAACAUUUCCAAUUUCCUCUAAAGCACAUUAUUUUCUUGUUCUCCAUCCAAAUCUCAGUCCCAGUGAUUCUGUUAUGAUUUUAUACACAUUGAAUUUCUAUCUUCAGAAAAGAGGAACUAGAAACCCAGAAUCCUGCAUUAUUUUUCUUGAUCUCAAUCCAAAAAUUAGACAAUAAUUGCGUACAAUUAACCGAAAACAUUCAAAUAACACAAAAAUAUAUUUAAAUAUAAGACAGCCACAAAAUUAAAAUCAAUGAUGAAACCAUAUAAUAAAAUGCCUAUUAAGAGACACAGCAAAGAAAACCCCCCCAAUUGAACUUACUUCAGAGAGAAGCCGAUUCUUUGGAAGAAGCUUUGCCACUUCAGGAGGGAGCACCACAUGCCUGUACUCAUAAGUGUCAUCGAAAUACUUCUCGGAGUACUGGAUCUGACCCAUCUUCCACUCUACUAGGGAUUUUAGUCUCAAUCAAAUUCCACUUUCAAGUCGGUUGUCCAGUUUUCUUCAAGACUUAUAAUUGAUCUGUGAAAACUGAAGCAAUAUCAAAGAAGAAACAGGAUUCAAUGAAAUCACAAGUGCACACAUCAGUAAGGGAAGAAUCGCAAAGGGAAUUUCAUACCUCGAGAGAGAGAGAGAGUGAGAAAAGUGGCGAGAAU
rnacentral:misc_RNA from 1 species